rnacentral:rRNA from 1 species
AUGAGUGUGGAGCAUACCAGAUGGAAGAGAUCGAGAAAGGAAAAAUGUAUAUUACAAUUCAUACCGAGGAAGAGCUGCGGGAGAAGUGGUGAGGAAUUUGAUUGUGAAUGUGGCCAGUUCGCACACAUGCGGAUGCUCUACAGCCAUGUCUUGAAGGCUCUGGACUUUAUUCUUAUUAAGGAAAUACCUUGGAAGCACAUAGUGAAAAUAUGGACUAGAGAUGCCAGAGACAUCCUACCCCCUCAUCUGACACAAUAUCAGAAGGACAAUGCUCACAAAAAUUCAUCUAGUUAUAGGCAUUUCAAUAUGUAG